rnacentral:lncRNA from 1 species
AUGCAACUUGUUCUUACAUUUGUUUAUCUCUCGCUCUCUCUCCCCUCCUCUACCCCUCCUCUCUCUCUCCCCUCCUCUCUUUCUCCCUGUUCUCUCAUUCUCCCUCUCUCUGCCCUCCUCUACCCCUCCUCUCUUUCUCCCUGUUCUCUCAUUCUCCCUCUCUCUGCCCUCCUCUACCCCUCCUCUCUUUCUCCCUGUUCUCUCAUUCUCCCUCUCUCUGCCCUCCUCUACCCCUCCUCUCUUUCUCCCUGUUCUCUCAUUCUCCCUCUCUCUGCCCUUCUCUACUCCUCCUCUCUUUCUCCCUGUUCUCUCAUUCUCCCUCUCUCUGCCCUCCUCCACCCCUCCUCUCUUUCUCCCUGUUCUCUCAUUCUCCCUCUCUCUGCCCUCCUCCACUCCUCCUCUCUUUCUCCCUGUUCUCUCAUUCUCCCUCUCUCUCUCCCCUCUACCCCUCCUCUCUUUCUCCCUGUUCUCUCAUUCUCCCUCUCUCUGCCCUCCUCCACCCCUCCUCUCUUUCUCCCUGUUCUCUCAUUCUCCCUCUCUCUGCCCUCCUCCACCCCUCCUCUCUUUCUCCCUGUUCUCUCAUUCUCCCUCUCUCUGCCCUCCUCCACUCCUCCUCUCUUUCUCCCUGUUCUCUCAUUCUCCCUCUCUCUCCCCUCCUCUACCCCUCCCCUCUUUUCUCCCUGUUCUCUCAUUUUCCCUCUCUCUGCCCUCCUCCACUCCUCCUCUCUUUCUCCCUGUUCUCUCAUUCUCCCUCUCUCUGCCCUCCUCCACCCCUCCCCUCUUUCUCCCUGUUCUCUCAUUCUCCCUCCACCCCUCCCCUCUUUCUCCCUGUUCUCUCAUUCUCCCUCCACCCCUCCCCUCUUUCUCCCUGUUCUCUCAUUCUCCCUCCACCCCUCCCCUCCUCCUCCCUGUUCUCUCAUUCUCCCUCUACCUCUCCCCUCCUCCACCUCUCUUUCUCCCUGUUCUCUCCCUCUCUCCCCUCCUCUAGAUAAGUGUCCGGUGGACACGGCUAAGUUGACGGUGGUGGUGAACAACAUAGCUGUAGCAGAAACAGAUAGGAGAGCUGUUUAUCCACUGUAA